rnacentral:rRNA from 1 species
CCUACGGGAGGCAGCAGUAGGGAAUUUUCCACAAUGGACGAAAGUCUGAUGGAGCAACGCCGCGUGCAGGAUGAAGGCCUUCGGGUUGUAAACUGCUUUUAUAAGUGAGGAAUAUGACGGUAACUUAUGAAUAAGGAUCGGCUAACUACGUGCCAGCAGCCGCGGUAAU